UGAAAAAGGAGAAAGAAGAAAAAGAAGAGGCUUUGGACUAAAGGUUGUAAAAGGUGCCCGGCAGAAAGGGUGGUGCUUUUUUUAUCAUUUAUGUGUUGGAUGAAGCCGAAAGCUGCCAGAUAGCUUCUUUUCGACAGCUUGGAGUUACUGUUGGGAACAGAUCCAUGUAUGGAAGCAAAAGCAGAAAAGCAGAGAUAAGCUGCUAUCCAGCUAUGCAAACCAUGUUUAGAGACAUUUAAAGGACAAGCAUCCAAACUCCUUUCUUUCUAGUAAAUUUAGAGAAGCAAUCAUAUGAGUGCUUGUUCCAUUCGGCCCUGCACAGAACCGCCAAGACUUGACAGCGGUAAGUGGCAAGGCAAGGGGAUAAAAACUCCUUCGCAUUACUUUCCCUGAAUGUGUGGGCUUCAGGAAAUACUCAGAGGAGCAGCAUUUACACUGGAGGCUGUUCUGAUGUUUUGUAAGAGAGAGAAAGGGAGAGAUCUUGGCUGCAGUUUCUAAAGGAAUGGCAGAAAGUGAAGUGAGCAGGGCUGCUACCUGGGAAGCAGAGCAACUUUCCUGAGGGAGGAAACAAAAUCUGCAAGAGGAAAAGAAAUGGUGUUUUAUCCUUGGUUACUUUCCCUUGGAAUGUCUGAACCAGCUAAUUCUAAUGCAUCAGCAUUAGCAAUAAAGCAUCAGGCUGGCGUACCAUCUUCGCAUGUGCUAGUGUACACGCUGCACAAGUAAUUAGUCUGGUGAACCGGUUGCGGAGUAUAACCAUCAAUCCAGUCACCACAAAUGCCUUCCUUGUCAUUUCUCCUGAAUUCUGCAAAUGCUCCGUCAGCCACAAAGAAGGCAGGAGCACUCCGAGCAGGUGCCUGUGGGAGAUAGACCCAUAGCGUUUUGGUGGAGGAACCCUACAAAUACAUGCUGUCUGGAGGAGCACCAACUCUGGUUCCAGGAUUAA
rnacentral:lncRNA from 1 species